rnacentral:rRNA from 1 species
ACGGGUGAGUAACACGUGGGCAACCUGCCCUUGAGACUGGGAUAACUUCGGGAAACCGGAGCUAAUACCGGAUAAUAUAAGGAACCUCCUGGUUCCUUGUUGAAAGAUGGUUUCGGCUAUCACUUAAGGAUGGGCCCGCGGCGCAUUAGCUAGUUGGUGAGGUAACGGCUCACCAAGGCGACGAUGCGUAGCCGACCUGAGAGGGUGAUCGGCCACACUGGGACUGAGACACGGCCCAGACUCCUACGGGAGGCAGCAGUAGGGAAUCUUCCACAAUGGACGAAAGUCUGAUGGAGCAACGCCGCGUGAGUGAUGAAGGCCUUCGGGUCGUAAAGCUCUGUUGUUAGGGAAGAACAAGUGCGAGAGUAACUGCUCGCACCUUGACGGUACCUAACCAGAAAGCCACGGCUAACUACGUGCCAGCAGCCGCGGUAAUACGUAGGUGGCAAGCGUUAUCCGGAAUUAUUGGGCGUAAAGCGCGCGCAGGUGGUUUCUUAAGUCUGAUGUGAAAGCCCACGGCUCAACCGUGGAGGGUCAUUGGAAACUGGGGAACUUGAGUGCAGAAGAGGAAAGUGGAAUUCC